rnacentral:lncRNA from 1 species
GAGACACACAGUGAGGCAAGGACCGACCUCAUGGGUAGAGUCCGGGGGGACCCUUUCUCGGCAGCCGAGCCCAAGGUUGAAGUGGCAAGUGUCGGGUUCCGUACAUGGAGAAGGAGAUGGCCCAGCCUCCCCACUCCCCGCGACAGUGGCCAGCCUGGGUCAGCCUGAGCCGCAGUGGCCGUCGCAGAGGAAGAGGAGGAAGUGAAGUCACUUCCAGGCUCCCAUUUGGAUGAAGCCUUGCAGGAAGAAUGUGCCAGAAAGGCUCUGCGCCGCCUCGCCACCUGCCUCUCCUUCAGAGACUGCUCUCGCUCCUGGCUCACCAGGCCCUUCGGGGUUCUGGCUCUGUGUGGACAAACCUCUCCAGCUUGACCCCCGGGCACAGAUCCGACGUCCUCCUGCAUCGCCCACACAGCACGGCCACAGCGGAGAACCUCCCGCGCUCGCCUGCCCCGGGGACCCAGGAGUUACACACGCAGGGCGUCAAAAGAUGGCAAUGGUUCAGCUGACACAUGGGGGCUGCCCUGAGCCCUGGGGAGCGGGACCUCCCUGUGCCUGCCACCCUCGCCCCUCCAGCCCCGGCCGCCCACGGCGCAGCAGGUGCAGGGUAAGCCCGCAUAGCCCCGGCCUCCUGCGCUGGCCCCUUAGCCGGAGCGAGUGGUGGUCAGUGACCAGGAUGGAGCACUUGUUUGUCAUUCAGGGUCUUACCUGUUCUGCUGCCAGGCCCCCCAGCAGGACGUCUCCAGAAGGUGGCAAAACUUCCAUGUCCAGAUGGGAAGCAGACGGUAGGAGCAGGAUAGGACCGUACAGGAGCUCCCCUCCCCCCGUGGAGCCAGUGUUGGAAGACCAGUGCUGGGACCUGCAAGCUGUCCACCUCUCAAGGCAUUUCAUCAGUGCUCUCCCCAGAGUCCACCCUAGCGCCCCAAGAGCUGGGGUGCCCCCCCACCCCACACAGAACAGGGUGGGGUCCCGGAGCAGCCCCUGAAGGGGCACCAGCAGCCCCUCCCUGGACCCCCACAUCUUCAUCCACAGGCCUGUGGGUCAAACACCCUCCUUCCCUCUGCCUGUUGGAACUGGCGCCAGUUCUGCACCGUGUUUUGCAAUAACAAAACCCACAGCCAUUUGAACAGCACUGAGGUUCUGUGUCGGGAGCCAGGGCCUUUCCAUGACCCCGUGUUCUCUGCUUGAUUUUCUUUCAUAUAUUUUUUAGUAACUGGAGCCAAAUUUCAAUGAAGACAAAUGAUGAAAAAUACACCAUCUAACAUUUGCC